CCAAUAGCGUAUAUUAAAGUUGUUGCAGUUAAAAAGCUCGUAGUUGAAUUUCGGGGUUAGUAAGUUGGUCAUGCCUCCGGUAUGCACUGGCUUUACUGAUUCCUCCUUCUUGAUGAACUGUAAUGUCAUUAAUUUGGUGUUGCAGGGAAUCAGGACUGUUACUUUGAAAAAAUUAGAGUGUUUAAAGCAGGCAUACGCUUGAAUACAUUAGCAUGGAAUAAUGAAAUAGGACGUUUGAUCCUAUUUUGUUGGUUUCUAGGAUUGACGUAAUGAUUAAUAGGGAUAGUUGGGGGCAUUAGUAUUCAAUUGUCAGAGGUGAAAUUCUUGGAUUUAUUGAAGACUAACUACUGCGAAAGCAUUUGCCAAGGAUGUUUUCAUUAAUCAAGAACGAAAGUUAGGGGAUCGAAGACGAUCAGAUACCGUCGUAGUCUUAACCAUAAACUAUGCCGACUAGGGAUCGGAUGAUGUUAUUUUUAAUGACUCAUUCGGCGCCUUACG
rnacentral:rRNA from 1 species